rnacentral:rRNA from 1 species
GACGAACCGUGCGAACGUUGUUCGGAUUCACUGGGCUUAAAGGGCGCGUAGGCGGGCGAGCGAGUCCGGGGUGAAAGCGCCCGGCUUAACCGGGCAAGGGCCUCGGAGACCGCUCGCCUUGAGGGAGGUAGGGGCAGGCGGAACUUCCGGUGGAGCGGUGAAAUGCGUUGAUAUCGGAAGGAACGCCGGUGGCGAAAGCGGCCUGCUGGACAUCUACUGACGCUGAGGCGCGAAAGCCAGGGGAGCGAACGGGAUUAGAUACCCCGGUAGUCCUGGCCCUAAACGAUGGGUACUAGGUAGCGGACUUGACAUGGGUUCGCUGCCGGAGCCAAAGUGUUAAGUACCCCGCCUGGGGAGUAUGGUCGCAAGGCUGAA